rnacentral:rRNA from 1 species
UACGUAGGUGGCAAGCGUUGUCCGGAUUUACUGGGCGUAAAGAGCGCGCAGGCGGUCGGUCAAGUCGCGUGUGAAAGCCCCCGGCUCAACUGGGGAGGGUCAGGCGAUACUGAUCGACUCGAAGGCAGGAGAGGGAAGUGGAAUUCCCGGUGUAGUGGUGAAAUGCGUAGAUAUCGGGAGGAACACCAGUGGCGAAGGCGACUUCCUGGCCUGUUCUUGACGCUGAGGCGCGAAAGCUAGGGGAGCAAACGGG